GUCUGGGCUCGACAGUCACACUGCAGUGUGACACUCAGAGAAAGGAACUUGGAGAGGAGAAUGACCUGUGUAGGGGUGGACUCUAACUGUGCCUACAAGGGCGGGAAUGCUGGGGAUCAAACUCAUGGCCUCCAGCAUACUAGGCAAGUGCCCUACCACAGAGCUACCCUACCACUGAGCUACCCCCAGUCCCUGAUGAUAAAGGAUUUCUUAAAAGAGGAGCCCGCUUCUGUCUGCAGGAUAUCCUCUGUUAUGGUCACAAGGAAGGUCUCAAUGAUCCCAUGAUGCUGUAAUGCUCCAGGACAAGACCACACCUGUGGGAGACGCCCUGGGAGGAACCAAAUCUUCAUCUGUGUAGCUCCUGGGAGGAACUAAAUCUUCAUCUGCAUAGUUCCUCAUUGUUCUUAGAUUUCUGCCACCCCCCACCCAGUCUUUUGUUACACCUUGUUCAUCCCAAUAUGAUACUGAAAUCUACAUUAUUCAUUUGUUACAUUUGUUUCUUUGGAUGUACUAAAUAAAAGGUGCUGCAAGCUAGGGG
rnacentral:lncRNA from 1 species